AAUGCACCGGACACUACAACACGUAUGGCAUUAGGAGGCAUUUUUUUGCCAGCGUUUUUGCUAAACGCCUCAAAAUCAUGCCAUUGAAGGCACUUUCUAAAAAUGCCUCCGAAGCUCACAGCCUUCAAGGGCAAUUUGGAAAAUUGCCUGCAAAACAGGGGGAAAGCAAGGCGUUCUCAAAAGUGCCGCGGAGUUUAGCCGGCGUUUUGGCGUAAAAUGCCUCGAAUGCUUUGUCUACAUUACCUAUAGAUGUUCACUUUUUUAAGGAAACAACCCUCCCACCUGCUGCCUUUCAAAGUGUGUGAAAAUAAAAAACACAUAACAUCGCGGCCGGCGCGUCGCUGCUCACCAUCGCCGUUGCUCCUCCGUGGGCGCCUCGUCGUCGCCGCCGGAGCCUCCUCCGCCACCGGUGCUCCACACCGGAUCCUCCGCAGCCGUCGCGGCAGCCGCGUCCGCGACGACCUGCACCGCCAUCUCCACGCUGUGCCUCUUCUUCUCUCAUCCCCAAUCUCGGGGUGGGAUUGCAGUGGGCGCGGUGAAGGAGAGGGGAGAUCGAGGCUCGGAGAGGAGGAGGGGCAAGGUGGUCCAGGAAAUGAACGAAUCAGCGGCGAUCCUCCCCACGCCAGACACGAAUAUUGCUGGUUGCAGUUGAUCCGACGCCCUGGUGCACAGAAGGUGUUCGAGCGGUAGCAACAUAUUUGAUGAGCCAUUUAUCCUCGCAACUCAAGCUACCCAAGUCUAUUAUGUACAAGAUUCUAUAGAGAAGGAUUGGUACGUUGUGGUUCAUCCACCUGCAAGAGACUUCUUUGAUAUGGACGCUAGAAUUGAUGGGCAUGAUGAUGUCCACCUGCAAGAGACUUCUUUGAUAUGGAUCAGGAAAAAAUGAUGACUUUGAGAUCAAGAUCUGAUGCAUUUAAUCAGUCCCAUGUGUCUGACCAUGAACGGAGAUUGAAUGGGCUGAAUUAUAGAGUCAGAGAAGUUAAUCCACCACAAAUGGAAUGCAUCAAUGUUAUCAAGCAAAAACAGAAGCUUCAAACAGGGAUAAAUUAAAACGCUUCACUAUGGUAAGCUCUUAAACUACAGGAAGUCAGGUGACCAAGCAUCAGGCUCGUUGCAUUACCUCAGAAUGUGCUGUGAGGAAUACGUUGAAGAGAUAGAAGAUAUGUGAGACAACAAGGUCAUAGAUGUCAUCCGAAAGUCGAAGUUGAUGGUGACACACGGCUGAUUGGUUUGUGUACUUCGAAUUGAUUGCAUCAAGUUGGAACACUCUUUACAACAUUGUUUCAACAGUAGGCAGUUUACCUGUGUGUUACAUUGUUGUCGCAACAGUAGGUAGUCUACCUGUGUGUUACAUUGUUGGUCCUGUGUUGGUGAUUGAUACUUUAAUGUCGUUUUCGAAUUUGUGAAGAUGUUCUGAUGCUUUACGUUAUUCGCUUGCACAAUGAUACUUCUAGCCAAUGCAAGCCUCUCAAUCUUGUUCUACUGUUGUAUAUAUGUGUUUGUACAGUGGUUGCAAAUUAGUGAGCUUGCUGCAACAGUGUUUUUAAUUAUAAUCUUACAUGUCUGUAAAGUUUGUGGCGUUCUUAUGUGCCUCAGAAACAUUUUGAAGGCAAGUCGAAAGACGCCACAAAAAGGUUUUAGAGGCGAUCUUAAGAAAUACCACAAAAAUGUUUUGAAGGCAGUAUGACUUAUGCCAGACAAUAAAAUUAGAGGCAGUAUGAGAAAUGCUACAAAUAGUCUUUGGAGGCAUUCCUAAAGAUGCCUCAAAUUGAGUUUGCUGGCGUUUUGAAAAAUGCCUCUGUGUUUCUUUUGAGGCAUUCUGGAAAAAUGCCUCACAUUGAGGUUGCUGGCAUUUUAAAAAUGCCCCUGUGCAGGCCUUUUGAGGCGUUCUGGAAAAGUGCCUUCAAAGACAUUUCCCUUCGUGACCAUCUCUAGCAUAUUUUAAAAAUGCCUUCUAUUCUCUAGGCUGGCAUUAUAUGGGCCUUUUGAGGCAUUUUAAAGUGCCUCCUAUUGACGUCCGUGGUGUAGUGGGAGCGACAUUGUUGUCUUCUCGAGAGGCUCUACGAUCUCAUGCAUGCGGGCUGCUUGGUUGCGUGCCGCACUGCGCGAGACGCGCACGCCACACCGUUAUGAUAUCGGGGCAGGUUUGGUUUCAUGGCAUGAACUGUCAGACUUUAGGCCCGCCAGUUUUGACAUUUUUUAGGUGGCGUUUGGUUAUCUGCCCUUGGUUAUGAUGUGCAAAAGUUUUUGAACAGUCAACCACUUGUCGUAAAGAAUUUCCCUGGUAAUUUUAGAGGAUUAGAAUCCUAACCAAAAUAAAUAAAUCAUAUGUGGGUUGUCUGAUUUGUAGGAUUAGUUCCUAUAUAAAAAACUUAUAAACGAUUUCUCACAUAAGAAAUUUUACGGAUUUGCUAUUUUAUAGUCGACUGUUUUUCAAUUCGUUGUCAAUCAAAUCUCUGUCUGUUCGAUCUUUGCUCUGAGAUUCACGCUCGGUCUGCUGUUUUUGCGUUGGUUUUUGUUAUCGGGCGCGGUUUUCUUCUUCCGCCCAUUUUCCUGGGCCCGCCCCGUCCCGGCCGGGCACUGUUGGUUUUUUGUCUUUUUUGAAUUUGGGAGCGGGGUGUCUACCUGUCUGGUCGUUCCCCUUUCUCAUCCCUUCGCAUUUGGAUAAGGCAGAGAGAGAGAGACGUCGAGCAGAGGAAGAGGGGGAGGCGAUUGCUUGCGUUCAUGGUGAUUUCGAGCUCAUCCACCGUAGGAUACUGAUUUCUCCCUCUUCUUCUCCUCGUCCGCGGGCUGCUCUGGUUCCUUUUCCUUGUCUCUCGCGCUUUGCCCAUGCUUUUUUGUGGCCGUGUAGUUCCAGAUCUGGUGAUUUUUUUGGCUUCAUGGAUCCGCGGCAUGUGAUUUUUGUGGUCCGCGGGAUGUGCAUGUCGAUGUCGUGGUGUUCUAGUCCGCCAUGGUGCCAUGGUUGUUCGUGUGAGUUUUGGGAGGAGCCUGCAGUGCGCCUUGUGUAGUCUUCUGUUAUUGUUGUGGGGCGCAGACCAAAUUCCGGGCCGAUUGUGUUCUCGUUGUUGAUUUGUACGUAGGUGUAGAGAAUAAGUUCUGCUGCUGUCGAUGUGGAGGUAGCUUAGUAGGCUUUAGUUCCUAGUUGUGGAUCCGGUAACUUGUCUCUGAAGGUGGAGGUGUGGUUAUAGUCCCUGAAUUUCUUCAUGUUUGUUUACGUUUUGUCCCACGAUGUUGUUCAUUCUGAUGGUUAAUGGACUUCUCUGCAGCUUGUUAGACCAAGGUUUUGUGUACCCUCUUGAAUUUCAUGGGUGUUAGACCAAGGUCUUGCAGAGCUAGUAUCUCAAUGGGCAGACUACGGAAAGUCUCAGCCAAGGAUGUUCCGCAAGUUUCUUCUGUUGAGAGUCUUGAUUCUUCAAAAGAUCCUUUCGUGCCUAAUGAUUUCGCUGAUGAGAAUGUUAUGUAUUUGGAUUUCUCUGCUGAUGAUGCAGAGUUUGAUAAAGCACUUUACAAUUUCUAUGUGAAUAGUGUGAGGUUCAUGUAGAUGCCUAGCUCUUUCCUGCUGAUGUCCCUGAUGCUACCUGAUGCUUCUGCGUGUUCUCCUGCUCAUGUCAUGAUACUACCUGCUCAUGUCAAGCUUUUUGUAGUCCAUGAAUUCGACUCCUGAUUUGUUGUUGCGAGCUAUUGGUGUUUAGUUCCCCUUGUACAAUGUUUGUUUACGUCUAUCAGGCAUGAAUUUUGAGUUUAAUUUCAGUGUAAUCUUGUCUCAGCCUUUUCAAUGUUGUCAAGUGUUGUCAGUCGUUUUGAUUGGAUUCUCAGUGUUUUAUUUACACUAUAAUUUAUGUCAGACUUAUAGUGUAAUUUGUCCCAACUUACAGUGUAAUAUCAGUAUUGUAGUGUAAAUUGUCCUAGUCUUACAGUAUAAUUUCUCUCAGUUUUAUAGUGUAACUAACCUGAGUUUUAGAGUGUUUUUUUAUUGUAAUUUUAGUGUGGUUUAUUCCAGCGUUACAGACUUUUAAGUGUAAUUUACCCAGACUUACAGUGUAAUUUUAUCUCAAUAUUGCAGUGUAGUUUGUACCAGAUUUACAGUGUAAUUAACUUUUCCAGUGUGAUUUGAGUGAAUUUUACACUGUUA